rnacentral:rRNA from 1 species
UACGUAGGGAGCAAGCGUUGUCCGGAUUUAUUGGGCGUAAAGAGCUCGUAGGCGGCUUAGAAAGUCAGGUGUGAAACCUCCAGGCUCAACCUGGAGUCGCCACUUGAUACUUCUAUGGCUUGAGUUCGGUAGGGGAACACGGAAUUCCUGGUGUAGCGGUGAAAUGCGCAGAUAUCAGGAGGAACACCAAUGGCGAAGGCAGCUCGCUGGGACGUGACUGACGCUGAGACGCGAAAGCGUGGGGAGCAAACAGG